CCUACGGGAGGCAGCAGUGAGGAAUAUUGGUCAAUGGGCGCGAGUCUGAACCAGCCAAGUAGCGUGAAGGAUGACUGCCCUACGGGUUGUAAACUUCUUUUAUAAAGGAAUAAAGUGAGGCACGUGUGCCUUUUUGUAUGUACCUUAUGAAUAAGGAUCGGCUAACUCCGUGCCAGCAGCCGCGGUAAUACGGAGGAUCCGAGCGUUAUCCGGAUUUAUUGGGUUUAAAGGGUGCGUAGAUGGGUUGUUAAGUCAGUUGUGAAAGUUUGCGGCUCAACCGUAAAAUUGCAUUUGAUACUGGCAGCCUUGAGUACAGUUGAGGUAGGCGGAAUUCGUGGUGUAGCGGUGAAAUGCUUAGAUAUCACGAAGAACUCCGAUUGCGAAGGCAGCCUACUAAGCUGCCACUGACAUUGAUGCUCGAAAGUGUGGGUAUCAAACAGGAUUAGAUACCCGUGUAGUC
rnacentral:rRNA from 1 species